UGGGGAAUUUUGGACAAUGGGGGGAACCCUGAUCCAGCAAUGCCGCGUGUGUGAAGAAGGCCUGAGGGUUGUAAAGCACUUUCAGAGGGGAGGAGGACUAUUAGGUUAAGAGCUAGAUAGUUGGACGUUACCCUCAGAAGCAGCACCGGCUAACUCCGUGCCAGCAGCCGCGGUAAUACGUAGGGACCAAGCGUUGUUCGGAUUUACUGGGCGUAAAGGGCGCGUAGGCGGCAUGACAAGUCACUUGUGAAAUCUCUGGGCUUAACCCAGAACGGCCAAGUGAUACUGUCGCGCUAGAGUGCAGAAGGGGCAAUCGGAAUUCUUGGUGUAGCGGUGAAAUGCGUAGAUAUCAAGAGGAACACCUGAGGUGAAGACGGGUUGCUGGGCUGACACUGACGCUGAGGCGCGAAAGCCAGGGGAGCAAACGGGAUUAGAUACCCGCGUAGUCCCUGAGCGGGCUGGCAAGGCGCAU
rnacentral:rRNA from 1 species